UACGUAGGGCGCAAGCGUUGUCCGGAAUUAUUGGGCGUAAAGAGCUCGUAGGCGGCUUGUCACGUCGGUUGUGAAAGCCCGGGGCUUAACCCCGGGUCUGCAGUCGAUACGGGCUAGCUAGAGUGUGGUAGGGGAGAUCGGAAUUCCUGGUGUAGCGGUGAAAUGCGCAGAUAUCAGGAGGAACACCGGUGGCGAAGGCGGAUCUCUGGGCCAUUACUGACGCUGAGGUGCGAAAGCGUGGGGAGCAAACAGG
rnacentral:rRNA from 1 species